AAACUAACUGACCUCAGCAGAUUUGCACCGGUUUAGAACCCGCUCGCAGGAACUGGAGAUUUCCUGCCUCCCUCCUUCCUAAAAGCAGGUGCAGUAUCUGCCUUGCUCUGGGAAGCAAAGGACUUCAUUGGUUUCACCUGUAGAGAGAAGAUUAAUGCAUGUGAGAAGUGUCCUGUUGAAAAACCAAGAUUUCACUGCGUAUUAGGGAUGGUGCCUGCUUAUCUCCAAAGUCUAAGCACAUACAAACAGAGAGAAGAGAAAAACAAGCAGGUGACAAACAAGAACUAGGGAAAUGAAAAGGAAGGAAGUUCUAAAAUAUAUAUGUUGAAGUCAACAUCUGGAGAUGCAGGAGAUUUCAGCUUCAUCUAUCUACAGACUCCCGAGGAAAGCCUGUGUCAUCCUGCACAUGAAGACCAGCACCACGAACAGCCCUGCUACAUCUCGGAGCCCAGGACAAGGCGCAGAAGGCAUAGAAAUGAUGCUGAGAUGCCUGGUGGGGUUUGCCUGCCCUCACUGCCUUGCAGCAAAGCUCGUCAUAUCCCUGUCUCCACUUGCAAAUGCCUCUGGAGGGCUGGCCUCAGGGUUAGGAGCCCCCUGAAGCUCAUGCGCUUUACUGAAUUGUGAAAUGGGCAGGAGGACACGGUGGGGCUGAGGACCUGUAUCCUCGUGGGACGGCUCUGGAUUCAUGCCCCAGCCUGAAAGGAUCCUCUGCCCCUGCUCAGUGGGGUGGCAGGGUGGGAGAUGUCAGAGCUCUCAGGGCUGGAGCUGGGGGGGAGCAGCAGGAAAGGCUGCUCUGGUGUCACCGUCACCUGGGAUAUCUGCUGGUGCCGGUCAGUGCGAGGGAUUUUGGGUCUGCUCUGUAAAAAGCUGCUUUGUACCUGGGGUCCUGCCUCCUCUCUGCUCUAGCAAAGACUAAAGCCGCCCCUGCAAGAAGCCAUCAGAGAGGGAAGAAAUCCUGAUGAGCCUCCUCAUCAAAGGAAAGGCAGUGAGAGACCCCCGUCCCCGCAGCCUCAGCCUUGACUAUCCGCAGCUCGUGCAGUGACGGUGCUGCCGUCACCCAAGAAGCCACAGCCUGUGCCCCUGCUCCUCCCCGCCCUGUGCAGGCUCUGCUGGGUCGAUCCAACAGGCACAAGGCUGGGAGCAGAGCCCUGUGGGUGACAGAUCCAGUUUGAUCUCCCGGGCCCAAUUAACGGGUGACCCGUGAUCACCGUGCCACAGAGGUGCUCAGGCACCGCCACCUCCAGCUAGCACCAGUCGUGCCUGCCUGCUGGGUGUCCGAAUCUUCAUUCGAUGCACAGCUGGAAGGAAAAGCCGAAGAGAGGGAGAGGCUUCAAGGCUUUUAUUCCCUUGUUGUAAAAAUGAUUAAAUACAAAUUGAGACAGGGUUUCCACCUGCGUUACACUAGUCCCCAGCACGGAGAGGGAUGGCUGUGAUGGGCAGGAGCGAGGAUGACGACGAACCUUGCUGCUUUCUGCUUACAGCAAGAGGUGAAAACAGCACAGGCUUCAAAUCAGAUGGAGAAAAGAUUCAAUCUCAGAUUUUCCAGUCCCGCUGGGUUUGCUUUCCCCAGGGGGUGAACAGCUCAGCUACGUCUACGCAGACAUUUUUUAGGCAGAGGAAUGCUCUGGUUUGGAAAGGGGCCACAUUUUCUGGACCAGCUGGGAGGACAGCAUGGGUAUGCCCCAUUGCAGGACUUCUGCAUGCAUUUAGGACUGUGAGAUGAGCUCCCCAGGAGCUGCUGAUACCCAUGUGGCCUGAAGGCACCUGAGCUGCUGCUUUGUGAGCAGCAGCAGUGCCAAUUGCUGCAUUUGAUGCCCUCCGAGGUGCUGAAGCGCAUUGCUUGGAACAGCCUUGGAGGAGUCACAAAUGUGUGCAGGGUGCAAGGAGCACAGCAGAGGCUCUGGGAAGUGGGCAGGCAAUAGCAGCCUCCAGAUCACUGCAGCCAUCCUCAAACCAGUGCCUGGAAAAAGUACUUGGGCAAGCCCCAGGGUGCCUUCUCCUGCCCACACCAUCUGGGUUUCAGGGUGCACUUCGAUGGCCAGCCUCCAGAGAUGUGUGUCCUGGAUCCAGGAAACCUGCGGCCACCCAGGGUUGGAGAUGGCAUCUCUGGUGUCCCGAAGGCACCCAUAAAAGCAGUGCAACAGGACAACAAGCCCUGCAGGGUGGUGUUGCUACGGGACAGCAGGGCCAGGGUCUGCUCCACGACAAUGGCUGGCAAUCACGAGCUGGGCAUCACCGCCUCCUUUUCCUCCCAGCACAUGACAUCCUCAUGAAAUACAGUGCUUGGCUCUCCUGCUCUCUUUCUUAAUGUCCUCUUCAAAGCUUCAAAGUAUUUAACCCUGCAGUAAAUUCACACCAGGAGAGAAGCUAUGAAUGUUAUCUUCUUGCCUUUUUGAGGCAGAAGGAAGCAAAAAAUCAUUAUUUUUUUUAUAAUGCCAAAAAUUCAGCAGUAAUGAGCGAGGCACCCCUUCCUUCCUAAAUAUAGUAGGAUCAAAUUAAAAGUCAAGAUCUUUGUUGCUGUUAAAAAUAGCUAAUGAAGUGACAGCAUUUGCUCAGGCGCUGGCUCUCCCAUGUGAGCGCGCUGCCAGCCUCUGCCAAGCCGCAGAUCAUCAGCAAGUUUAGAAGUGACAUGCACAAUGGCAGCAACCAAGUUUUGUAAGCACAGUCUGGGGAGAAAACAGUGAUUAUGCAAGAAAAUAUGGCAAAAACAACCAUCUGCUUUAUUUUCUCCAUUUGUUUGCCCAUUGGGUUUUGAGUCUGUAGGGCUCAAGUUUUUUCUAUGUUUUCUCCAAAACAAAUAAUUGGCUUUUUUUUCAAGGAAGCCUGAGAUUAUCACAUAAUCACCUGCUGCCCAGAGGCAAGGUGGGGAGGCAAUGCCACGAUCCCCAGCAGGGCCAGAAAGCCCAGCAGGACUCGAGAGCGAGGUGUGCCUGGACACACGGACUGGAAGCAAAUCUCUGACCUCCCGCUUCCAGAAGUGUGUGAGAACCAGUGAAUCCUUCCCCUCUCCCCCGGGACUUGUGAUUGCAGAGACUUGCCAUAUAGCCUUGUAAUUAAUGUAGCGGAUCCAGAGGAAUAAAAAGCCUCUGGAAAAAAAAGAAAAAAAAAUUGUUUUCCCUUCUCGUGCCAAAACAUAUGCCUUUCAUUACACCUCUGACUUGUGUGUCUCCCAUGUACUGCAGGAGGGGAAACAAACUCCAGUGAUUUCACUGCUGCUCCCUGGUCAUGCUCCUGUUCAUAUUUGGGGAGUUAUCUCCCAACAGAUAAUGCUGGUUUGGAAAGCAUCAUCUGCGCCUGAAAGCCACAUGGUGAGAAAGGGGGAAAAACCCCAGCCUUGCUGUUCGCUGGUAGUAAAUCCUCCUUCCUGGGAGAUGCUGGCAUUCCUGGGUGCUGUCUGCCUUCGAGGCGAGGGUUUUGCUCCUUUCAUCCCAGAGGUGCUGGGAGCAGCAAGCAGCGGGAGUCCCCUUUAUCAGGCACAGCUGCAGGGAGAUUCCUCAGCUUCAUUUUCCUAUAACUCAUAUUUAAAGACCAACAAAUCAUCCCGCACACAUAAACACACACACGGAGCGAAUCGGAGAGUGGAAAAAGGAGCUGCAUUAAGAAGCAUGCAGCUUGGGGCAGCUUUUGGAGAUUCACCAUUAAAUAGAUCCUGAGGACUCCAAAGAUGAAUUUUUACCCACCCUGCAGAAGGGCAGGGAGCUGAUGUGUGCCCAGAAAUGUGGGUGUUCUUCUAGUGACACAUCAAGCUAUUCAGUCAGGUCUUCAGUGCUACAGGGCCGAAUCUUUCACCCAGCUAUUUUUAUUAUGAGUUUAGUAAACUGCAUUUAAAAGGGUCACCUUCCUGUAAGCCUGUCCUGAGGGGAAGGGGUGGCACCGCAUAUCAGCCCCUGUCCUUGCAUCAGCAGAGCAGAGGCUUGCCAGUAACCAAGUGCCCACGUUGACCAUGGGGCAUCUUCUUACCAGCAUCCUCCCCCUGCAGGUGAGGGUGUGAGGAGGGGAGGCACCACAGUGCACACAGGUAGUGACCACGAGUGAGCCAUGUUUUAGCUACAAACACAGCCCAGCCUCUUCAGGUUGCU